UGUGUUAGUGGAAGCGUCUGGAAAGGCGCGCGAUACAGGGUGACAGCCCCGUACACAAAAAUGCACAUGCUGUGAGCUCGAUGAGUAGGGCGGGACACGUGGUAUCCUGUCUGAAUAUGGGGGGACCAUCCUCCAAGGCUAAAUACUCCUGACUGACCGAUAGUGAACCAGUACCGUGAGGGAAAGGCGAAAAGAACCCCGGCGAGGGGAGUGAAAAAGAACCUGAAACCGUGUACGUACAAGCAGUGGGAGCACGCUUAGGCGUGUGACUGCGUACCUUUUGUAUAAUGGGUCAGCGACUUAUAUUCUGUAGCAAGGUUAACCGAAUAGGGGAGCCGAAGGGAAACCGAGUCUUAACUGGGCGUUAAGUUGCAGGGUAUAGACCCGAAACCCGGUGAUCUAGCCAUGGGCAGGUUGAAGGUUGGGUAACACUAACUGGAGGACCGAACCGACUAAUGUUGAAAAAUUAGCGGAUGACUUGUGGCUGGGGGUGAAAGGCCAAUCAAACCGGGAGAUAGCUGGUUCUCCCCGAAAGCUAUUUAGGUAGCGCCUCGUGAAUUCAUCUCCGGGGGUAGAGCACUGUUUCGGCAAGGGGGUCAUCCCGACUUACCAACCCGAUGCAAACUGCGAAUACCGGAGAAUGUUAUCACGGGAGACACACGGCGGGUGCUAACGUCCGUCGUGAAGAGGGAAACAACCCAGACCGCCAGCUAAGGUCCCAAAGUCAUGGUUAAGUGGGAAACGAUGUGGGAAGGCCCAGACAGCCAGGAUGUUGGCUUAGAAGCAGCCAUCAUUUAAAGAAAGCGUAAUAGCUCACUGGUCGAGUCGGCCUGCGCGGAAGAUGUAACGGGGCUAAACCAUG
rnacentral:rRNA from 1 species